UACGUAGGUGGCAAGCGUUAUCCGGAUUUACUGGGUGUAAAGGGCGUGUAGGCGGGAAAGCAAGUCAGAUGUGAAAACCAUGGGCUCAACCUGUGGCCUGCAUUUGAAACUGUUUUUCUUGAGUAUUGGAGAGGCAGACGGAAUUCCUCGUGUAGCGGUGAAAUGCGUAGAUAUGAGGAGGAACACCAGUGGCGAAGGCGGUCUGCUGGACAGCAACUGACGCUGAGGCGCGAAAGCGUGGGGAGCAAACAGG
rnacentral:rRNA from 1 species